CCUGCCUCAGCCUCCCAAGCAGCUGGGAUUACGCCUGGCAAUUUUUGUAUUUUUAGUAGAGACGGGGUUUCACCAUCUUGGCCAGGCUGGUCUCAAACUCCUGGCCUCAUGUGAUCUGCCUGCCUCAGCAUCUCAAAGUGCUGGGAUUACAGGCGUGAGCCACUGUGCCCGGCCAAAAUUGGGUUUUUAUUUCAGGUUUGAUAGAUGAUUAAAUAGCUGUUGGAGUCCUUGGUUACGGCAUUAUUUUUCAGACUCAGGCUGCAUUUUGAGAAAGGCAGUACAGGAACUGGAGACUAAAGAUUUUGGUUUAUGGCUUGAUUACCCAACGGAGGUGUCAUAGUGCCAGAUGGUCUCAGAGUCAGUGGCAUGAAGGAAAAAGGAAGUCUGUGAGACCUCACUGUAAGAGGCUCAUGACAAUAAAAUUGAGUCUGAGAACUCUUCUCAAGCUAAUAUUUUUAAAUAAUAAUCACUUGGCACAUAUUGAUUGAAAAUUUAGGUCGGGCGCAGUGGCUUACACCUGUAAUCCCAGUGACUUAGUACAAAAUGCAGUUGGUUCAAAUGAUUCUGGCUGAGAUGCCAAAUACAUAAUUCAGAUGUUUAUGUUACAAGUAUUAUUGUUUCCCUUUUUCCUCUGUUAAAUAGCUAUUUACACACACACACAAACACACACAUAUAUACAAUACACUAGGACACCAAGUGGGUAUUUUUUGCAACCCAAACUAAAAAUCCAUAAGCAUAUGCAUGGCAAACCAAAUAGUAGAGAUAAGAAAGAGAAGUAUUCCUACACAGGAG
rnacentral:lncRNA from 1 species